rnacentral:tRNA from 1 species
GGGCGUUUAGCUCAGUUGGUAGAGCACUUGCUCGACAAGCAAGGGGUCACUGGUUCAAGUCCAGUAACGCCCACCA